AUGGAAAAAACAAAAAAAAAUAACAAAAAUAUAGAAAAUGAAAAUGAACAGGAAGGAACUAAUGUGACAGAAAUAUUCACCGAAAAUCCAAAGGCUGUUAUAAAAACUAGCAAAAAGAAUAAAUAUAAGAAAGCCAAACAGAAGAAAAAAAACAAAAAAACUUGUAACAAUAAUGCAAACGCACAAAACAAUACAAUUUGUAACAAUAAUACAAACGUACAAAACAAUAUAUGUUAUAACUAUAAUGCAAACGUAAAAAAAUAUACAAAUAAUGGUAAUAAAAGUAAAAAAAAUUAUGAAAAAAAAGUUUUAGAUAAUUGGAAUAAAAAACCUUUAAUAUGUACAUAUUAUUUUUAUAAAGGCAAGUGUAUGCAUAAUGAAAAAUGUUUAUUUUCACAUGAUGUUGAACCUUUAUAUAAGAUAUCUAACUUAUGUAAAUAUUUUGUUAAAGGAGCUUGUUCAAAAGAAAAUUGUGUAUUUUCACAUGAUCCAACAAUAUUUUUUUGUCGAAAUAAUGUUUUAAGUAAUAGCUGUCACAAGCCAGCAUGUAAAUUUAAGCAUGUUAAAAUUAAUAGUACUAUUACAAGUGUCGAAGACUAUAAUAUGGAAGUGGAUAAUAUAUUAACAAAAGAUGACAAAAUAAGAUUUAUAUAUAAUAAUAAACAUUAUUUAACUGAAUAUCUUUUUAAUAAUUAUUUUCCAUACGAUAAACUCAAUGAAGUUGAUGAAAACACAUUUACACGAAAAGAUGAAUACCCUUGGUUUAUUAACGAACUUAUAGAUUUGAUUCGGAUGGAUUUUAAAAUGGAUAAAACUAAUUCAUUUUUUAAUGUUUUGAAUAGGUUUAAGCAAAUGAGAUUGCUUAUUCCUGUGCGUCCAAAUGGAAUUAAUGUAAAUUAUAGUAUUACACUACAGAAUAAUAGUGCAUCAGGUAUAUACAAAAACAAAAAUUUUAACAAUAACAAUACAUUUUAUAAUAAUAAUAAUGAUAAUAAUAAUAAUAAUGAUAAUAAUAAUAAUAAUGAUAAUAAUAAUAAUAAUAAUAAUAAUGAUAAUAAUAAUGAUAAUAAUGAUAAUAAUAAUGAUAAUAAUAAUGAUAAUAAUA
rnacentral:lncRNA from 1 species